GACGAACGCUGGCGGCGUGCUUAACACAUGCAAGUCGAACGGAAAGGCCCUGCUUUUGUGGGGUGCUCGAGUGGCGAACGGGUGAGUAACACGUGAGUAACCUGCCCUUGACUUUGGGAUAACUUCAGGAAACUGGGGCUAAUACCGGAUAGGAGCUCCUGCUGCAUGGUGGGGGUUGGAAAGUUUCGGCGGUUGGGGAUGGACUCGCGGCUUAUCAGCUUGUUGGUGGGGUAGUGGCUUACCAAGGCUUUGACGGGUAGCCGGCCUGAGAGGGUGACCGGCCACAUUGGGACUGAGAUACGGCCCAGACUCCUACGGGAGGCAGCAGUGGGGAAUAUUGCACAAUGGGCGGAAGCCUGAUGCAGCAACGCCGCGUGCGGGAUGACGGCCUUCGGGUUGUAAACCGCCUUCGCCUGUGACGAAGCGUGAGUGACGGUAAUGGGUAAAGAAGCACCGGCUAACUACGUGCCAGCAGCCGCGGUGAUACGUAGGGCGCGAGCGUUGUCCGGAUUUAUUGGGCGUAAAGGGCUCGUAGGUGGUUGAUCGCGUCGGAAGUGUAAUCUUGGGGCUUAACCCUGAGCGUGCUUUCGAUACGGGUUGACUUGAGGAAGGUAGGGGAGAAUGGAAUUCCUGGUGGAGCGGUGGAAUGCGCAGAUAUCAGGAGGAACACCAGUGGCGAAGGCGGUUCUCUGGGCCUUUCCUGACGCUGAGGAGCGAAAGCGUGGGGAGCGAACAGGCUUAGAUACCCUGGUAGUCCACGCUGUAAACGGUGGGUACUAGGCGUGGGGUCCAUUCCACGGGUUCCGUGCCGUAGCUAACGCUUUAAGUACCCCGCCUGGGGAGUACGGCCGCAAGGCUAAAACUCAAAGGAAUUGACGGGGCCCCGCACAAGCGGCGGAGCAUGCGGAUUAAUUCGAUGCAACGCGUAGAACCUUACCUGGGUUUGACAUGGAUCGGGAGUGCUCAGAGAUGGGUGUGCCUCUUUUGGGGUCGGUUCACAGGUGGUGCAUGGCUGUCGUCAGCUCGUGUCGUGAGAUGUUGGGUUAAGUCCCGCAACGAGCGCAACCCUUGUUCACUGUUGCCAGCACGUUAUGGUGGGGACUCAGUGGAGACCGCCGGGGUCAACUCGGAGGAAGGUGGGGAUGACGUCAAGUCAUCAUGCCCCUUAUGUCCAGGGCUUCACGCAUGCUACAAUGGCUGGUACAGAGAGUGGCGAGCCUGUGAGGGUGAGCGAAUCUCGGAAAGCCGGUCUCAGUUCGGAUUGGGGUCUGCAACUCGACCUCAUGAAGUCGGAGUCGCUAGUAAUCGCAGAUCAGCAACGCUGCGGUGAAUACGUUCCCGGGGCU
rnacentral:rRNA from 1 species